UUCCAUGGCGGGCCACGCGAGGCAGCCGCAAGGCUGGCCGGGUUCUUCCUUGAUCUCGCCGGGUUUCCACCCUCGCUGUAUGGCCCGCCACCCUC
rnacentral:antisense_RNA from 2 species